rnacentral:rRNA from 1 species
GUGCCAGCAGCCGCGGUAAUACGUAGGGUGCAAGCGUUAAUCGGAAUUACUGGGCGUAAAGCGUGCGCAGGCGGUUGUGUAAGACAGAUGUGAAAUCCCCGGGCUCAACCUGGGAACUGCAUUUGUGACUGCACAGCUGGAGUACGGUAGAGGGGGAUGGAAUUCCGCGUGUAGCAGUGAAAUGCGUAGAUAUGCGGAGGAACACCGAUGGCGAAGGCAGUCCCCUGGACCUGUACUGACGCUCAUGCACGAAAGCGUGGGGAGCAAACAGGAUUAGAUACCCUGGUAGUCCACGCCCUAAACGAUGUCAACUGGUUGUUGGACGGCUUGCUGUUCAGUAACGAAGCUAACGCGUGAAGUUGACCGCCUGGGGAGUACGGCCGCAAGGUUGAAACUUAAAGGAAUUGACGG